GCAUGCUUAUCAGUUUGCCCUUCUCAAACUCACUUUGUUCAUUUGUCCAUUCACUCAAACUUUUCUUGAGAAUCUACUGUGUGCUCAGCACUGACUCUGAGAGCUGUCAAUAAGGAUAGCUCAAAAGAUAGGUUCUAUUGUCAGAUAAGUUUUAGAUACACUCUCCGUGGCAUUGCGUUUCUUUGAACUAUAAUAAGCAUCUUCUGUUUAUCAGGUAGUACCCAUUCUUCUAUAUUACUACAUCUGAGAAAUCCUUUAUUUUAUUCAUAUUUUCCAUAAUUAUUGGAAUUCUUUUUUUCUCCAAGCCCUCUUUCCAUUAUGAAACCGAGUAAUAACACUAGAAUCCUAGAGCAAUGGUUGAAAGAUUAGCUUUGGCAAAUACUGGUGUAAUACGGAGACAGAAUAACAGUUAGAACUAAUCUUGUUACAUAAAUUUCUAAUGGUAAUGCUGAUAGACUGAUAAACCAGAGAACAUUAGUAGGAAUCAAGUGCAUUAUACUUCUUAAACAUGGAUUCCUCAAAGAAUCAAGGUUCUGGAUAUGCCAAGUUUAAAGUCUGGAACCUUUCACUAAUGGGCACAAAACUAAUAAUGUAAACAUUAAUGAUUUAAGUAUUAAAAAUUUAAUUAUUAAUUUAAUUAAAAUAUUAACUACUUUAAAUUUUUAAAAAUAUAAAUCGACCAAUUGAUUCAAUCAGGUAGACUGGAAGGUAAAUUUAUUUCUUCAAAAAGAUCGAUGUGGUGUUUUCUGCUAAGACCUAAUGGCUUUCUUUCAACAAUAUAUCAGACUCUUAAAAAUGCAGAGAUUUGUUAAAUUUUUAGAAUUGAACUUCAGGAAAUUUAUAAUAAAAUUUCAAAACUAGCUAGCCAACAGUUCUAAACAGAUUAAGAUGACAGGAUAUUCCCCAUCUUUUAUUUUUAAAGUUUAAAGUUUUAUUUUUAUUUUUGUUAAGAGUUAAUAUUACAACGAAAUAUAUCUUCUUUGAGUGUCACUUCUCAGGUGCUCAGGAUAAGUGGCAGUCUGAGCUGUCAAUUCAAUUUCUGUUGCUAUCUAGGCUGAAAGGAAAUACAAAUACAUACACAGCAGAAGGUAACAGCAACAAUUAUAUUCCACAGAUCUGUGUAAUUUAUGAAGAAAAGAGGAAUCCAGUUCAGGAAAUGCAUGAAUCUCCUAAAAAAAUCUUCACCAUAGAACUAUUACUAUUAUCUUUCUGAUAUUAUAUUGAAAAUGAAACACAUUCACCAAUUCUCCAAAGGCAAUUUCUCUUCACCUCAAAUAAAUCUCCCUUAUAGGCCAUAUAAAUAGAAUUAAACUGUCACAUAAUGUUUCCAUUUGUUUUCCUGCAGAAUAAACUCAUUACAACCAGCCCAUUAGAAGAUGAUAUUAAAGGAUUUAAUUGCCUGUGCAUAUUAAAUAUGUUUAAAAUUUAUGAAAAUAAACAUUUUCAAAUUGAGUAAAUACACUGCAAUGAUAGAAAUGGGAAUGUGGAUUUAAUGCAAAUUCUUACGGUAAUGCGGAUCCAUAGCACUACCAUGGACUGGAUGUGCCUCCUUGGAGCAUGUAUAGAUGUUCCAGGCCAGAAUCUAAGCCACACAAGGGCAGAAAUCCAUUUGGAGGCACAUGUGGAAUUGCUAAUAGAUUAUAAAUGGCAAUUUAGUCUAUGCAGGCAAUAUCUUUGGAUGAAAUAUUGCAUUUAUGAUAAUCAGGGGAGACUUACAACAAUUAACAUGGUUGGUGUUUUCCAGGGCUGGCCACUGAGCUCAAGGGAGUGUGUGUAUUUGACCUUGUGUCCCUUACACUUUCCGAAUAGCAUGGUUCAUAGUUUCCUGAUGGACAGCUGCCAAUUAUUAAAAGAGAAGCAGGAUGGAACAGUCCAACUUUCGGGGGGCAGAGGAGGAGUUCAGUUGUUCCAGGCCUGUUUCCCCACCACCCUGGCAGAUGGUUCAACAGCCAGGUUGCAGUGGCUUGAAGGCAGAAAGAAAGAUUUCUCCCUUAAUCUUUUCAAAAUCGCCAACAAAAGUCAAGUCAAAUUCUUUUAAAAAAGAAAAGAGCAGCUCGGUAUAUAACUUUCUAUGCCUUUCCUGGAGGUUUUGUUUUAUUAAUUUUUUGUACCUUUUGAGUCAUUCACUGCGAUGUGGAAUUUCUUCCCUCUUCUCACUUUGCUCCAAGGACAUACAAUUACUGAAAGCUUUUUACUAAAAGAAAAUUACUGCUACAAGUAGUGGAAAGGCAGAAGGAGAUCAUAUUCCAGAUUGAACCCUCUGGAAAAGAGGAUGCUUUUUAAAGAUUCCACUAAAUGUGAUUUUUGGAAGGCUCAGCAUAGGCAGUGUAUACCACAAUUUAGCCCAUAUACCACAAUUUGCCGGCUCACCUACCCAAGAGAAGGGGAGUGGCUCCCCAGAGGGAUCCCCGCCAGCACACAGGGCGGUUGGCUGGCAUUUGGAGAGCUGACAGGGGGAGACUUCAGCAACAGUCAUUUCCAUUCCUUUUCCAUCACCUUGAUUGUCAGGAAGAUAGCAUAUGGGAAAUACAUAGUGCUCUGUUUAUCCUGUGGCUUCUGCGUUUUACAGGAUUCCCACACAGAAAAGAAAAGUGUAGGAAAAUAUCUUGCCAGCUGUAAAGCACGAUGCAAAUGGACGCUGUUAGGAUUGUUAUAGGCCCAUUUUUUUUCCUCAUGAAAUCCCAGGACAGACAAGUAUGAACACUCCCUCCUCGUAUACAGGAGUAGUAAGACAAGACUAGACUAUGAUGGCGCAUCACUGUCUUUUAGCAAAAGGAAGGAGCAACCAGAAAGAGAACAUCUUAGAUCCAGGAAAUGGGAAACAACACUGAAGAAGCAAGAGGGGAAACAAAAACAAGAAUGGAAACAAAAGAAUGGCCAGGAAAAGAGCUGACAAAUUGGUAGGAGGAGCAACCAGGGCAGCGAAAGGAGAAUGAUCCUUCUAAGUGACACUUCCAAGAAAUAACAUAGAUUGCUAGAAAAGCUGUGAUAGGGUUCAGCUCAUGGCAAGUUAUGCUAAGAGGGUCAUCAACAGAUGGAUGAAUAAAGAAACAGUGAUGCAUAUAUACAGUGGAGUACUACACAGCUGUGCAAAAGGAUACACCUGAGCUUUGAGUCCAUAAUGCUAAGUGAAAUAAGUCAGACACAGAAGGCUAAAUAUGUAUGGUUUCUCUUAUAUGAGAAACCCCAACUAUAAAUAACCUAAAGAACAAAACAAAAGAUAGAUGAUGGGAAACAAGGAGGAAGACUGUGGACAUGGGAAUAAGAUUUGGGGAUAGCAGGAGGGAGGAGGGAAGAGGGAAAUAAAAGUAACAAAGAUGCAAUAUGUAUGCAAGGACCAGUCCCCUAUGAUGAAUGCAAUUAUUACAGAUUGCAAACAUAGACUAAUUCGAAAGAAACUUUAAAAAUCCUUGAGUUUGUGAAGGAAGGGGAAAAUUAGCACAGGUAAAAAAGAAGAUUAAAUAACUGAAAAAAAAACUUCAAAGGAAUCAACAACUUUAGGAACACAUAAAAGUUAGAGGAAAUAUAAUAAUUAUACUCCAUGUGACUCUGAAAAUAUCCGAAUGUUAUAUGAUAAUAUAAGUAAUAAACAUUAUACUGUUUGAAAGAGAGGAGAAAGAUAAAAUAUUACAAAGCUCUAAAUCAUCAUCCACAUAAACAGAAGGAGAAGAAACAAUGUCUGAAAUGAAUGCACCAAAAGACAGCAGUGUCCACCUUAUUUAGAAGUAUGCAGAUGGGAAAAUAUUUGCUGAAAUAGCUGAAAGAGUGGCAAGUGCCCUUGGAGGAGCAGGUGAUGAGGCAGAAACCCACUAUAUUUCAUUGUAAAUCUUCCGCUAGUAAUUGACACUUCUAAGGUAUAUGCACAUAUUCACUAACAACAAUUUAUUUAAAAGUAUAGAACAUUUACUGUUAUUUCAUGAUGUGGAAAAAUUAAGCAAUGAGAACUAAAAGUAAGUACAUCCAAAAUAGUCAAUUCAAGACAUCUGAAUAAAAAUUCCUGAGGGUCCCAAACUCAGACUUUUGAUAGCUCUCUUGAUUGAUCAGAAACAUUUUAGGUUAUAUUUGACUUAUUUUUUAUGUUCUUGAAAAAUUAUUUAUGUGCAUAAAGACACGUGAUUACAAAUUCUCUCUUGCCACCAAAGUGCAUCAACUCAAAUAUUUCUUUCUUGUUUUUAAUCUCGAAUAUUUCAGUUCAAAUAUAUGCAUAUGGUGGACAUAGCUCUUAAAAAUACAUUAUACUGGUUUCAUCAGUAUUUUAAAAGUCGAAGGAGGGUUUUUUUCCUAGUUUGUGUAUGUCAGAGGAAAUGAACCCUACACACACAAGUGGCCCAACUGAAGCGGAUCAAAAUGUGCCUGACCUACUCUGUAAUUUCAGUUCCCCCCUUGUUACAUUGAUACAAUCCACCGAUUUUAUUCUGAUUUCACCAGUUUUACAUGCACUGUGUGUUUCAUUUUAUCACAUGUAUACAUUUGUGUAAUCACUACCACAGUCAAGAUUCAAAAAGUCCUAGCAUUACAAAAUUUUUCUAAUGUUGGUCUUUUAUAAUCACAUUGUCCUCUCUAAUUCCUAAUACCACUAAUCUCUUCUCCAUUGUAUAAUAUUUUCCAUCUCAAGGAUGUUAUUUUAAAAAUUUUUGUUAGUAUAUAUUUGUCAGACAUAAAGAUCACAUUCAUCAUAGAAAAUUUUUACCUGUACAUAAUAUGUCAUAAUUCUUCUUUUUCCCCAUUUUUCUCAGUCACUUUUUUGAGAAUCUUCUCUUGAGUCUUCAUGUGGCUCAGGAUUCUGCAUUGUUCUUCUUCCAUAUCUUGAACCUCCAGCACGAAGACUCACAAGACUCUUUUGAAGGAUAUUUGUUGAACAAAAGAGUUAUAUUCCACUCUUGGCACAUCGCUGUGAAGCUUAAUUACUGUCUGUCCCUCUAUGGGGUUCUUGAUGCCUUCCCCUGGACCAUAGGCCAAACCCAAAUCCUGAUCCUCUGGCUCCGGAUCUGCCCAACUGAAUCCACCAACCUCUUUUGAAGAAGCUGGGCACUAACCGCACAGCCAGGGUAGAGCUCAGUUGCACCAAGUUACAGUUAGGAAGAACACCCAGAGUUAGCAGGAAGCCACGCUGGCAUGCACAGCCAAGGUCAAAUAUCAACGGCACCGAUUUUGAACCUUAAAUUAAAAGGCUGGAGAAGUAUAAGAGAUUAAGGCUGCAGGUUUUAUUAAGCAUCAGAGAGAAGAGGAAGUGGUAGGGAAUGAUUGACAGUGCUUCAAGGAGACAAAAGGUCAGUAUGGUAUAGCAUUGAGAUGUUGCAGACAGGCAGGGGAUGGAGUCCUUGAAUCAAAAGACUCAGAGGUUCACCAAGUAGCUUCCGAAUGCCCUUGCAUAGCAUUCAUAUUUUUAUUCUACAAUGCUCAUCAAAAGAAACUCAUGAGUCCUCAUUCAUCAUUCAACAUAUAUUUAUUAUAAGGUCAUGUGAGCAGUUAUAUCAUUGUUUAAUUCAUUCAUUCAACAAAUUUACUAUUUGGACUAGAAUCUCUAUUUUGUCACUUACUAGUCAUGUGACCUAUACAAAGUAUUUAACCUCCCUGCCCAGUUCUUUAUCAGUUAAGAGAUGAAUAGUAUUUCUGGGAUUUAUCAUAAGGAUUAAAUGAGUACUGUGAACACUAUGAGACACGUACGGAAAUAUCAACACAUUUCCUGGGCCUAUUUACUAAAUAUUGUGAAUUGGACCAUGGACCCAAAAGUUGGGUUGAAGUUCCAAAUGCAUAUUCAUGAACAGAACCAUGUUUUCAAAUAGGAUUCUUACAAAUGUAAUCAAGUUAAAAUGGGUGCAUCAGAGUGCACUUUAACCCCACAUGACUGGUGUUUUUGUAAGAGGAGUGACAGAGGGAAGACUGCCCUGUGGCUGCUGAAGACACCUGGAGAGUGAGAAGUAGAAGAGCAUCCUCCACCAGAGAUGUCAGAGUGAGCCCGACACUGCCAGCACCUUCUCCCAUAACUUCCAGCCUCCAGCACUGUGCAAGAAUUCACUUCUCCUGUGUUAAGCCACCAGUCUGAGGUAAAGACACCCCUGAUUUACCGAGGCUCGCCUUCACAACUGCAUCAAAGUGAUACGCAUUUGACAGAGUCUGUACCUCCAACUUUGAAUUCUGAUGUCCUCCUGGGUCAGUGAUGUGCAGUACAAACUCUCUCCAGAUGAUGAGAAGUGUCAGUGGCCCUGCAUACCUGUCAGCUGUGUGACCACAAGGGGAAACCAUCAGAGGUCGACUUUGCACUGCGCUGCUCAGCAUGAUGCUUGGUAGGUCAAGUGUAUUUAGUGCAUUUCCACUUAGAAUAUUUUCAACUUAUGACCAGUUCAGGGUGCUUGACCCCAUCAUAUAUUAAGAUGUAAUCCCAUUGUGAGUGAAGGAGAAUUUGUACUUUGAUAGAACACCCCUAAGAGACUAAUACCCUGAGUAGCUACUCUGCUUCGGAGACUCUUCCAGUUUCUGAUGAACAAAUGCCAAAGAGUGUGAAUUUUUUCCUAAGGAUUAUGUGAAACCAUGAGGGAAUGUAUAUGAUCGAAUGUUCAUGUGCAUGGACACAGAGAAGAUGUAGUGCAAGAAAAACGCUGCAGGGAGGAAAAGCAGUUAGGAGGUGGCUGUAGUAGUUCAAGGAAAACAAUGACUCGUGGCCUGAGAAGACAUUGAUAUAGAGAGAAAGUAGGCAUCGAGAAAAUGUUCUGAAGAUGGAAUUCUCAGUUUUGGUGAUAGACAGGGAGAAAAGUAUGAAAGGAGAGGUUUCUGGCCCUAACUGAAUGGCAGUGGAGUCACGUGCAAAGACUGAGAGUGAAGAGGCCUGGGGCCAGAAGAAGAUGCUAAGUGACGCUACACACGUUGGAGUUGAGAUACUGAAAGACAGAGGAGAGAGCCCUGUAGGCAUCUGGAUGAGUUUGGCGUAUGGGUCAAACAGAUCUGAGCAGGAAGUAUAAAUUUGGGAAUUAGCAUGUCGAUGUCAAGUGGAGCACAUUACAUCAUGAAAUCAUAUAAAGCCAGGGAAUGAGUCUUACCUUGUGAAGCAGCUUCAAUCAUGCAAAAAAAAAAAACCCAACAAAACCUUUUCAUACAUAUCCAUGCACAUUUUUCUGGAGUAGACACAGAGCUUUGUUCAGAUUCUCAAAGGCAUCAAUGACUCAAAAAGAAGCUGAGAACUACCAGCAAAAAGUAUGAGCAGAAAAGUGCCCGAGACCAAACACCAAAGCAUCUAAGUUCUAAGAUCACCUUAAAAGAGUAUCUUGACAGGCUGACCAAAUAGGUGGAAGAAAACUCUAGACUCCUAAAUCAAGGCAGCGACAAUUUUUAAGCUAUGCAUACUGGCACCAGUAUCAAAGGGCCAAAAACUCAAAAUACGAGGAGUUAUUGUGAGCUUCUCAAGGGCAAUUUAAAGUGAACUGGUUUGAGCACAAAUCUUUAGGUUGAUGGGUAAAUGACAGGUGAGAGAGGAGACCCUGAAAUUUUUAUAAAAUAAGAAAAUUUUAUCCUUUAAUUAAUUCCAAGAUUAAUAAACAGGAUUUAUUGUGUGUAUUUCAAGAUGGUAAAUUAACUCUCAUUUGUUCCUAUACCUGUUCUCCCUUUAUUUUUCUUAGAAACCCUGUUUAUUUUCCUGUUAUUUUCUUCUGUUUCUUCACUAAAAGGAAAGUCAAAGGAAAAAAAUCUACAAUGAAAAUUGUUAGGCCGACAGAGAAACUAAAAGUAGUAGGAUUCACAUUGGGUACCAAAAUACAAGCUAGUGAAUUUUAAAAAUAAUGUAUGUAUUAAAAUGUAUUUAUAUAGUGUUGUUGUAUAACACACUUCAUAUUUAUGAGUCAGCACUCAAAUGACAGUUGAGUUCAUUUAUAGAGAGACAAUCAUCAGGCUGGACAGGCAAAAAGAUGUAACUUCAAAGGCUUUGAAGAUUCCGGGCAGGAUCCUGGGUUAUAUCUAAAUCGUGUGUGUAUUUUUAUUAUCAACCAAACGAUUUCAGGGCUGCAUCCUGGUGAACUGAAAAACAAGUUGUUCAAAUUUUUGUAUUUCAAAAGAUGGUUAGGCAUCACAGAAACAAACACAUUGUUAUUGUUAAAGACAACUGUUCUUUUUUUUUUUUUUAAUAAAACUAUUCUGUAAAGGGAACGAGGAUAAUGCUGGCAAUGUGGUUUACUUUUCUUUAAAGGGACAUCUCUUCUGUGGAGUCUGUUAUGGCAGAAUUGAGAAUGCUUCCUCCCCGCCUCCACAUUUUACGAUCGUAGUUAGUGUAAAUGCUUAGGUCUGCUCACUGUUUUGCAUGUCCAGUUCUCUCUACUACUUGUUAAGGCUUGGGGGAGGCAGGGAGUGUAUGAAAUUCAUCUUUGUAUUCCCCUAUCAAUAACACAAUAACUGGAACAUUAAAGUGCAUCAAAUGAAUGAAUUUUAAUUAUUUACCCCAAUAUAUCUAAGUUCUGGUUCAUGUCUAGAUGUCCUCCCAAACCUCAAGUGCUCAGAGGUGGGGCUUUUUGGAGAUGAGUGGAUCAUGGGGCUUCUAGCUGAAUUACUGUUGGAAGGAGGGGUCUGGACAGAAGAGGCAGUCACUGUGGGCAUGGCCUGGAAGGGUCUGUCUCCCUUCCUGCUCCUCUUCCAUUUCACUUUGCUGCCAUGCCAUAACCCAUUCUCCUUGCCAUGCCAUUUGCCUUGGAGCCAGUCAAUUAUGUACUGAAAUCUGCAAACCAUGAGCCAAAAUAAACCUCUCCUCCUUUGAGUCAUGGUUGUUGGGUAUUGAGUCCCAGUGAUGGGAAAGUAAUUAAGACAAUCUAUUAAUUGCAUCUUGAGCUUUCAUUUGUGUAAUAAGAAUUGGAAUUUUUCUGUUGCUUCAUUGUUAAAGAUGACUAUUUUUGCAUAAUGCGUUUGGAACAUUAUUAAUAAGACAAUGGAAAAGAAAAUGUCACAAUUCAUUUGAAAUGCAAAGAGCCAAUAAACAGCAGUUAAAUAACAGACAUUAAAUGUUGCACAUAUGUCAAGUAAUAACAAGAAUUCUUUUCCUAGAAUUUGAAACAUUGUUAAGUGCAAUUGGUAUGACAUUAGAAUUUUUUAAGGCUAACACAGGGUCUGAUGUAGAUUAAGAGUUAUGUGCAUUAAAAGAGGAGAG
rnacentral:lncRNA from 1 species